rnacentral:rRNA from 1 species
UACAGAGGUCUCAAGCGUUGUUCGGAUUCAUUGGGCGUAAAGGGGUGCGUAGCGGCGCGGUAAGUCGGGUGUGAAAUCUCGGAGCUUAACUCCGAAACUGCAUUCGAUACUGCCGUGCUUGAGGACUGGAGAGGAGACUGGAAUUUACGGUGUAGCGGUGAAAUGCGUAGAUAUCGUAAGGAAGACCAGUGGCGAAGGCGGGUCUCUGGACAGUUCCUGACGCUGAGGCACGAAGGCCAGGGGGAGCAAACGGG